rnacentral:rRNA from 1 species
CUAGCGACUUCAGAGUUGAUCCUGGCUCAGGACGAACGCUGGCGGCGUGCUUAACACAUGCAAGUCGAACGAGGAUAUACUGCGGAAGGCUUCGGCUGGAAGGGGUGUAUUCGAGUGGCGGACGGGUGAGUAACGCGUGAGCAAUCUGUCCCAGACAGGGGAAUAACACUUGGAAACAGGUGCUAAUACCGCAUAAGACCACAGUAUCGCAUGGUACAGAGGUAAAAGGAGCAAUCCGGUUUGGGGUGAGUUCGCGUCCGAUUAGAUAGUUGGUGAGGUAACGGCCCACCAAGUCGACGAUCGGUAGCCGACCUGAGAGGGUGAUCGGCCACAUUGGAACUGAGAGACGGUCCAA